rnacentral:tRNA from 1 species
GGGGAUUUAGCUCAGUGGUUUAAGCGCUUGCCUGGCAAGCACGAGGUUAUGAGUUCAAUCCCCG